UAUAUACGUGUUUGGCCGGCUUGGGGCUUACUCUCUUGGCAUUCUUGACUACUAGACAUCCUUGUGAGCCUAAGCAAACACCUCCCACUCAUCUCCUACAUAGAUUAUACAUCUUUGUGAGAUUAGGAGUGAUUCCAAGUGCAUUUGCUUGAGUGAUUGCAUCUAGUGGCACUUGGGGAUCGUUUUGGCUACGGUUUUCUUGUUACUCUUGGUGGUUGCCGCCACCUAGACGGCUUGGAGCAGCGGAGGAGGAUUGGCACGAGUUGGUGAUUGUUCGUGGCCAUCUCCCGGUGAUUGUGAGAGGUUUGUGCCUACCUCGGCGGAGAGCCAAAGGCAACAUUAGUGGAUUGCUCGUGUCAUUGAGUUACCUCACUUGUGGGUAGGUUCUUGUGGUGUCCUAGUGAGGACGAGGUUCGUGCUACACCUCUUAGCCACCGAACCACCAAGUGUUGGUCGACACAACGGGGACGUAGCGUGCCGGCAAGCACGUGAACCUCGGGAGAAAAAUUGUGUGUCUCCAUUGUGAUUAUUCAUUGGAUUUCUUCCGGUGAUUGGACUUCAUAUUAUUGAUUGGUUCAUCCCCUCUACGUGGCGGUAUAAAGUUCAAACCAUCUCUUUUACAUUCCCGCAAACUAGAGUAGCUUACUUACUUGUAUAGAAACUUUAGGUAGCCUUCUAGUGUAAGUAGUGACAUAGCUCUUGUGUGUCUAGUGAUUAUAGCAACUAAGAAUUGUUGGAUAGGUGGCUUGCAAACACCCCAUUAGAGCUAGAGCAAAAAGCUUCGCUUUGUUAUUUACUAACCUCUUGCUCUAGUGAGUUUGUAGAAUUUUUAAAUAGGCUAUUCACCCCCCUCUAGCCAUAUUAGGACCUUUCACCACGGAACUGCCCCAUAGCCUCUCGUACGCUCAUCGUGCUCAGGAUUUUCAAGCGCAUACGUGAGUUCAUCCUUCUCUCUAUUAGGCUUGAACUCACCAGACUGAACCGCCUCUCGUGCACGGACUAGUCUCUCUGCUGCUCUAGAGAUUUCUUGGCCUCAAACUAGCGCCCCGGUGUCUGGGUCCACGCUUCCCCUAUAACCGUAGAACCAAUGCUUGGAGCGCUCACUCCAAUUCUUUGCUAUUGUCUCGGGUGUGACCCCCCUAGCAAGCAUCUCCUAUUUCAUUCGGUCCCACUUAGGAACAACACUCUUAUAACCACCUGACCCCAUAUGAUGGUGGUAUGUCUUUUUACUUGCAUUCUCUUUGUUCCUAAUGGCUCGUUUCUCGCCCUCUUCUGAUGUUUUCUACUGCAUGAAGUCAUCCCAGAAGGCCCUUAGCUUUACAUAUUGCUUGAGGUUGAAAUUUGGAGUUUUAUUUUUCUUGACAAAUUUAUUGUACAAAGACAUCUUCCAAUUCUGAAACAGUACCGCCAUCUUCUUCAUAGUCCAGUCAUAAAUUUGCACCUUCAACUCUUCAUCGUUGGCGUCGAAAGUGAAAACCACCGUGACGGCUUUCCAAACUAACUCCUUGUCACGAUUCAGAGACAAAAUUGAUUUCAGGAGCACCUCGCUUCUCUAUCCUCCAUAGUGACCAACAUAUUUAUUUGCAUGUUCACCAAGUGGUCUGUAUGUAGCUAUCUCAAACUCGGAGAUUACGUAGCGGCCUUCCAACGGCUUCUUUGGCCCUCGUGGAGGUACUCUUCUCCCCGUAGAGGUCGAUCCAGAAGGCUACACGUAGAACCAAGUAAGUCUAAAACCUAAUGUAAGAGAUGCAUUAUAUAUGUUUACAUUUACAUACCUCGUCGAUAUUUUCUUCUUGUUGCACGACAAGUUGUUGCUUAGGCGCAUUGCCCUCUUGUCGCUCAAGGGCAUUGCCCUCUUGUUGCUCAGUCGGAUUGUCUUGCAUAUGAUCUCGUUGUAAUCAAUAAAGUACUGAUUACCAUCGUCGAUCAUAUUUUGAAUGACAUCUUCCAUAUAAUCAGGAUCAUCGUGAGGACGGUCAGCCAUUUCUAUGUCUGCAACCAUACAUAUAUAUAUAUAUAUUCUAUAUAAGAUAAGAAAUACACUAGAAUAAUAUAAGUGCUAGAGUGCUCCAAACUUAAAAAUAAUAUAAAAAAUAAUACUAACAAUAACACUAGAAUUAUAUACUAGCACAAUAUAUUUUAUAACAAUUCAAAACACUAAUACUAAAAAGUCUUUUAAGCCAUGUAAUACACUAGAAUAAUAUACUAAAAAAAUAAUACUAAAAAAUAAUACUAGAAUAAUAGUACAAACAAUAAUAUAUACAAAACACUAGAAUUAAUAAUAUACUAGAAUAAUAUACUAAAAAGUCUUUUAAGCCAAGUAAUACACUAGAAUAAUAUACUAAAAAAAUAAUACUAAAAAAUAACACUAGAAUAAUAGUACAAACAAUAAUAUAUACAAAACACUACAAUUCAUAAUAUACUAGAAUAAUAUACUAAAAAGUCUUUUAAGCCAAGUAAUACACUAGAAUAAUAUACUAAAAAAUAAUAUAAAAAAUAAUACUAGAAUAAUAGUACAAACAAUAAUAUAUACAAAACACUAGAAUUAAUAAUAUACUAGAAUAAUAUACUAAAAAGUACUACUAGAAUAAUAUAAUAGCACAAUAUAUUUCAUAACAAUUCAAAACACUACAAUUCAUAAUAUACUAUACUAAAAAGUCUUUUAAGCCAAGUAAUACACUAGAUUAAUAUACUAAAAAAAUAAUACUAAAAAAUAAUACUAGAAUAAUAGUACAAAUAAUAAUAGCACAAUAAAUUUAUGAUAAACAAUUGUAUAUAUGUAUAUAUGUAUAUAUAUAUCAUAACAAUUCAAAACACAUUAUAUAUCAUACAUGUAUAUAUGUACAUAUACAUAAAUAUACAAUUGUAUAUUAUGUAUAUUCAAAACACAGUAUAUCAUAUAUAACAUUCAUUUAUUAUAUACAUUUAUUAUAUAUAUACAUAUAUAUAUAUAUAUUAUAUGUAUAUAUAUACAUUUAUGAUAUAUAUAUAUAUACAUUCAUUCAUUUUGUAGAUUAUAUAUAGCCGGAGUUCGAUCGAUCUAGUACAUUGGGAGUGAGGAGACGGCCAGAGUUCUUGACGUGGAAGAUGGUACGGUGGCCGACGCUGGUGGAUGGCAACGGCGGCGCUGGUGGAGGGCCACGACAGCGCUGGAAGAGACGGUCGCGGCGGCGCUGGGAGAUGAAACGACGACGGCGAAGAUGAACGCGGCGGCGCUGGAGAUGAAGACGAUGAUGAAGGAACCGCCGGAUCCA
rnacentral:lncRNA from 1 species